GGGUGCGAUCAUAUCAGCGUUAAUGCGCUGGAUCCCCUCAUAACUCUGCAGUUAAGCACGCUUGGGCUAGAGUAGUACUGGGAUGGGUGACCUCCCGGGAAGUCCUAGUGUUGCAACCU
rfam:Picea glauca, whole genome shotgun sequence.